rnacentral:rRNA from 1 species
AUUGAACGCUAGCGGGAUGCUUUACACAUGCAAGUCGAACGGAGUGGCGGACGGGUGAGUAAUAUAUCGGAACGUGCCCAGUAGCGGGGGAUAACUACUCGAAAGAGUGGCUAAUACCGCAUACUAUUGGAGCGGCCCAUAUCGGAUUAGCUAGUUGGUGGGGUAAAGGCUCACCAAGGCAACGAUCCGUAGCUGGUUUGAGAGGACGACCAGGCAGAAUGGAAGUGAGAAAAGGGGCAGACUCCUACGGGAGGCAGGAGUUGGGAAUAGUGUACAAGGGGGGAAACCUGGAGGGAGCCAGGGCGGGUGUGGUAAGAAGGCCUGCGGGUUGUAAAGUACUGUUAGCGAGGAGGCGUUACUGGCAGAAGAAGCACCGGCGAACUCCGUGCCAGCAGCCGCGGUAAUAC